rnacentral:rRNA from 1 species
UACGGAGGGUGCGAGCGUUGUCCGGAAUCAUUGGGCGUAAAGGGCGCGUAGGUGGCCCGGUCAGUUCGUGGUGAAAGCGCGGGGCUCAACCCUGCGUCGGCCAUGAAUACUGCCGCGGCUGGAGCACUGUAGAGGCAGGCGGAAUUCCGGGUGUAGCGGUGGAAUGCGUAGAGAUCCGGAAUAACACCGGUGGCGAAGGCGGCCUGCUGGGCAGUUGCUGACACUGAGGCGCGACAGCGUGGGGAGCAAACAGG